rnacentral:rRNA from 1 species
GGGGUCUAAUACCGGAUAACACUCCUGCCUGCAUGGGUGGGGGUUAAAAGCUCCGGCGGUGAAGGAUGAGCCCGCGGCCUAUCAGCUUGUUGGUGGGGUAAUGGCCCACCAAGGCGACGACGGGUAGCCGGCCUGAGAGGGCGACCGGCCACACUGGGACUGAGACACGGCCCAGACUCCUACGGGAGGCAGCAGUGGGGAAUAUUGCACAAUGGGCGAAAGCCUGAUGCAGCGACGCCGCGUGAGGGAUGACGGCCUUCGGGUUGUAAACCUCUUUCAGCAGGGAAGAAGCGAAAGUGACGGUACCUGCAGAAGAAGCGCCGGCUAACUACGUGCCAGCAGCCGCGGUAAUACGUAGGGCGCAAGCGUUGUCCGGAAUUAUUGGGCGUAAAGAGCUCGUAGGCGGCUUGUCACGUCGGAUGUGAAAGCCCGAGGCUUAACCUCGGGUCUGCAUUCGAUACGGGCUAGCUAGAGUGUGGUAGGGGAGAUCGGAAUUCCUGGUGUAGCGGUGAAAUGCGCAGAUAUCAGGAGGAACACCGGUGGCGAAGGCGGAUCUCUGGGCCAUUACUGACGCUGAGGAGCGAAAGCG